CGCGCAGGCGGCGAUUUUUGUCGAGUGUGAAAGCCCCGGGCUUAACCUGGGAACUGCGCUCGAGACGGGAUCGCUAGAGAUCGGGAGAGGAGAGUGGAAUUCCCAGUGUAGAGGUGAAAUUCGUAGAUAUUGGGAAGAACACCGGUGGCGAAGGCGGCUCUCUGGACCGAGACUGACGCUGAGGCGCGAAAGCGUGGGGAGCAAACAGGAUUAGAUACCCUGGUAGUCCACGCUGUAAACGAUAUGUGCUAGACGUUGGGGAGCCUAGCUCUUCGGUGUCGCAGCUAACGCUUUAAGCACACCGCCUGGGGAGUACGGCCGCAAGGCUAAA
rnacentral:rRNA from 1 species